rnacentral:rRNA from 1 species
GACGAACGCUGGCGGCGUGCUUAACACAUGCAAGUCGAACGGAAAGGCCCUGCUUGCAGGGUACUCGAGUGGCGAACGGGUGAGUAACACGUGGGUGAUCUGCCCUGCACUUCGGGAUAAGCCUGGGAAACUGGGUCUAAUACCGGAUAGGAGCCAUUUUUAGUGUGAUGGUUGGAAAGUUUUUUCGGUGUAGGAUGAGCUCGCGGCCUAUCAGCUUGUUGGUGGGGUAAUGGCCUACCAAGGCGGCGACGGGUAGCCGGCCUGAGAGGGUGGACGGCCACAUUGAGACUGAGAUACGGCCCAGACUCCUACGGGAGGCAGCAGUGGGGAAUAUUGCACAAUGGGCGCAAGCCUGAUGCAGCGACGCCGCGUGGGGGAUGACGGCCUUCGGGUUGUAGACUCCUUUCGCUAGGGACGAAGCUUUUUGUGACGGUACCUAGAUAAGAAGCACCGGCUAACUACGUG